GCUGACGUAGCUCAGUUGGUAAAGCAUGAGAUUUAUAAUCCCAGGGUUGUGGGUUCAAGCUCCACGUUGGGUG